rnacentral:tRNA from 1 species
UCCCUGGUAGUAUAUCGGUUAGUACACGCGCCUGUCACCUCGUAGUGCGCGCGAAAGCGGGGUUCGACUCCCCGCCAGNNNN